rnacentral:rRNA from 1 species
UACGUAGGGGGCAAGCGUUGUUCGGAAUCAUUGGGCGUAAAGCGCGUGUAGGCGGUUGUUCAAGUCAGGUGUGAAAGCCUUGAGCUCAACUCAAGAAAUGCACUUGAUACUGGAUGACUAGAGGACCGGAGAGGAUAGUGGAAUUCCCAGUGUAGUGGUGAAAUACGUAGAGAUUGGGAAGAACACCAGUGGCGAAGGCGGCUAUCUGGACGGUUUCUGACGCUAAGACGCGAAAGCGUUGGGGAG